CUUUACUGCAACUUGACGUUGGAACUUGGCUGUAUUUGUGUAGGAUAGGUGGGAGACUUUGAAGCAGGGCCGCCAGGUCUUGCGGAGUCGUCGUUGAAAUACCACCCUGGUGCUGACGAGUUUCUAACCGUGUCCGUAAGCCGGACAUGAGACAGCGUUUGGUGGGCAGUUUGACUGGGGUGGUCGCCUCCUAAAAGGUAACGGAGGCAUUCAAAGGUCCCCUCAGCGUGGUCGGUAAUCACGCGCAGAGUGCAAACGCAUAAGGGGGCUUAAUUGCGAGAUCGACAGGUCGAGCAGGUACGAAAGUAGGAGUUAGUGAUCCCGCGGUUUAGCGUGGAAUUGUCGUUGCUCAAUGGAUAAAAGGUA
rnacentral:rRNA from 1 species